rnacentral:lncRNA from 1 species
UAGGUUUUUGUUUUCCAUCCUCCCGAGGAAUGCUUGAAAAGAUCGAACCAAUAUGUCAGAAUAUUUGUGUACCUGUAGCAGCUUCAUUUAUUAGUUUACCACUUGUGUUUUUUCAAAAUUGAAAUCACUUUUUCAGUUAGAAAAUAAGUGUGCCUGUGAUUAUAAUGUUUUUGUGAUUGUAAUUUUAAAAAAUAAAUUUUUUAGAAAUAUUUUUAAUUGUAGUUUUUAAAAAAUAAAUUUAAAAAAAAUACUUGUUUUAUUAAAAUUAUUGUGGAAUAGAUUUUUUUAUGCAAAAUAAAUAAAAAACUUGUUUUUAUAAAUAAAAAAUAAUUUUUUUAGCUUUCAUAAAAUUAAAGUUUAAAACACACAUAAUUGUAUUAUAUAUCGAGCCCUUUAAAAGAAAACAGAAAUUAUUUAAUUAACCAUAAAGUUUUUUCUCAUGGUUGGUAAAAAACAAGGGCUACCAAACAAGUUUUACGACUUUAAUCAGGUAUUGUUGGACAUAUCUUUGACACGCAUCAUUUUAGCAUUAAUCAAAAUUUAAAAAAAUCAGGUAAUUUCUUUAUCGUUUGUUGAAUCAUGAUUGGCGGCUGAUCAACAAAAUGCUAAAAGUGGUGAUUUUACUUUUACCUUAUUACGAAGCACUAUUUAUUUUAAUAUUAUUUUUUUAAUUUAUAUUUUUUUUUCAAAUCCAAUCUAAUUAUUUAGUAUUUUAUUUGUUAAGGAUUUCACUUUAUUAUUUUUUCAAUUUAUUUUUUA